rnacentral:rRNA from 1 species
CCUACGGGAGGCAGCAGUGGGGGAUAUUGCACAAUGGGGGGAACCCUGAUGCAGCGACGCCGCGUGGGUGAAGAAGCGCCUCGGCGCGUAAAGCCCUGUCAGCAGGGAAGAAAAUGACGGUACCUGAAUAAGAAGCCCCGGCUAACUACGUGCCAGCAGCCGCGGUAUUACGUAGGGGGCAAGCGUUAUCCGGAUUUACUGGGGGUAAAGGGAGCGCAGACGGCGAUGCAAGCCAGGAGUGAAAGCCCGGGGCCCAACCCCGGGACUGCACUUGGAACUGCGUGGCUGGAGUGCAGGAGGGGCAGGCGGAAUUCCAGGUGUAGCGGUGAAAUGCGUAGAUAUCAGGAGGAACACCGGUGGCGAAGGCGGCCUGCUGGACUGCAACUGACGUUGAGGCCCGAAAGCGUGGGGAGCAAACAGGAUUAGAUACCCUGGUAGUC